rnacentral:rRNA from 1 species
UACGGAGGGUGCGAGCGUUAAUCGGAAUUACUGGGCGUAAAGCGCGCGUAGGCGGUCAGGCAAGUCGGGUGUGAAAGCCCUGGGCUCAACCUGGGAAUUGCAUUCGAAACUAUCUGACUCGAGUAUGGGAGAGGGAAGCGGAAUUUCCGGUGUAGCGGUGAAAUGCGUAGAUAUCGGAAGGAACACCAGUGGCGAAGGCGGCUUCCUGGACUAAUACUGACGCUGAGGUGCGAAAGCGUGGGGAGCAACAGG